UACGUAGGCAGCGAGCGUUGUUCGGAAUUACUGGGCGUAAAGAGUGUGUAGGCGGUGCUCUAAGUUCGGUGUGAAAUCUCCUGGCUCAACUGGGAGGGUGCGCCGGGAACUGGAGUGCUUGAGCGUGGGAGAGGAAAGCGGAAUUCCUGGUGUAGCGGUGAAAUGCGUAGAUAUCAGGAGGAACACCUGUGGUGUAGACGGCUUUCUGGACCAUAGCUGACGCUGAGACACGAAAGCGUGGGUAGCAAACAGG
rnacentral:rRNA from 1 species